AUAUUUUACCAUGAAAUUGAAUAAACAUUGAAAUAAAUUUAAAUUAUGGUAAGAGGUAAAUAAUUCUUUUCUUAAACCAGAUUCUGAACUUGUCUCUCUCUUGAUUGCAAUCUUUUAUGAAAACUACAGAAAAACAUAUAAGGAGAUUGUGUUGACCCGGCUAAGGUUAUAAUUAAAUGGGCUUUGGUCUUGAUUAGAUUAAAAGUUAUAAUUGUAUAGG
rnacentral:lncRNA from 1 species